CCUACGGUGUGCAGCAGUGAGGAAUAUUGGUCAAUGGACGCAAGUCUGAACCAGCCAUGCCGCGUGCAGGAAGACGGCUCUAUGAGUUGUAAACUGCUUUUGUAGGAGGGUAAAUGCAGAUACGUGUCUCUGUCUGAAAGUAUCGUUCGAAUAAGGAUCGGCCUACGCCGUGCCCGCAGCCGGCGUAAUACGGAGGAUUCAUGCGUUAUCCGGAUUUAGUGGGUUUAAGGGGUGCGUAGGCGGUCGGGCAAGUUAGAGGUGAAAUCCCGAGGCUCAACUGCAGAAUUGCCUCUGAUACUGUUCGGCUAGAGAGUAGGUGCGGUAGGCGGAAUGUAUGGUGUAGCGGUGAAAUGCUUAGAGAUC
rnacentral:rRNA from 1 species